CAGAACAUAUGGUGGCAUAAUGCACGUACAGAAGACUCUACAACCAAACUGCGGAGCAUGGAAAAGCAGUGAAUCCAAGUGUCUCAAUGCCUUUUUCCCCCCUUGCUGGCUGUAUGGAUUUCCGAAGCAUGUGUGUUCUUUCCUUAUUGUGCAGAUAACAGCAUCUACCCCUAGUGUUCUUUAUGGGGGUGAGAGAGUUCUUUCAGGUGAUGCAUGAGCUGGUGG
rnacentral:lncRNA from 1 species